rnacentral:rRNA from 1 species
UACCUACGGGAGGCAGCAGUGGGGGAUAUUGCACAAUGGGGGAAACCCUGAUGCAGCGACGCCGCGUGGGUGAAGAAGCGCCUCGGCGCGUAAAGCCCUGUCAGCAGGGAAGAAAAUGACGGUACCUGACUAAGAAGCCCCGGCCAACUACGUGCCAGCAGCCGCGGUAAUACGUAGGGGGCAAGCGUUAUCCGGAUUUACUGGGUGUAAAGGGAGCGUAGACGGCAGUGCAAGUCCGGAGUGAAAGCCCGGGGCUCAACCCUGGGACUGCUCUGGAAACUGUAAAGCUGGAGUGCGGGAGGGGG